rnacentral:rRNA from 1 species
AGAGUUUGAUCCUGGCUCAGAUUGAACGCUGGCGGAAUGCUUUACACAUGCAAGUCGAACGGCAGCACGGGAGCUUGCUCCUGGUGGCGAGUGGCGAACGGGUGAGUAAUGCGUCGGAACGUACCGAGUAAUGGGGGAUAACGCAGCGAAAGUUGUGCUAAUACCGCAUACGCCCUGAGGGGGAAAGCGGGGGAUCGUAAGACCUCGCGUUAUUCGAGCGGCCGACGUCUGAUUAGCUAGUUGGUGGGGUAAAGGCCUACCAAGGCGACGAUCAGUAGCGGGUCUGAGAGGAUGAUCCGCCACACUGGGACUGAGACACGGCCCAGACUCCUACGGGAGGCAGCAGUGGGGAAUUUUGGACAAUGGGGGCAACCCUGAUCCAGCCAUUCCGCGUGAGUGAAGAAGGCCUUCGGGUUGUAAAGCUCUUUCAGCUGGAACGAAACGGUGCGCUCUAACAUAGCGUGCUAAUGACGGUACCAGCAGAAGAAGCACCGGCUAACUACGUGCCAGCAGCCGCGGUAAUACGUAGGGUGCGAGCGUUAAUCGGAAUUACUGGGCGUAAAGCGUGCGCAGGCGGAUUGUUAAGCAAGAUGUGAAAUCCCCGGGCUUAACCUGGGAAUGGCAUUUUGAACUGGCAGUCUAGAGUGUGUCAGAGGGGGGUGGAAUUCCACGUGUAGCAGUGAAAUGCGUAGAGAUGUGGAGGAACACCGAUGGCGAAGGCAGCCCCCUGGGAUAACACUGACGCUCAUGUACGAAAGCGUGGGUAGCAAACAGGAUUAGAUACCCUGGUAGUCCACGCC